rnacentral:rRNA from 1 species
UAAUACGUAGGGGGCAAGCGUUAUCCGGAUUUACUGGGUGUAAAGGGAGCGUAGACGGUAUGGUAAGUCAGAUGUGAAAGCCCGGGGCUCAACCCCGGGACUGCAUUUGAAACUAUCAGACUGGAGUGCAGGAGAGGUAAGUGGAAUUCCUAGUGUAGCGGUGAAAUGCGUAGAUAUUAGGAGGAACACCAGUGGCGAAGGCGGCUUACUGGACUGUAACUGACGUUGAGGCUCGAAAGCGUGGGGAGCAAACAGGA